rnacentral:rRNA from 1 species
UACAGAGGGGGCAAGCGUUGUUCGGAAUUACUGGGCGUAAAGGGCGCGUAGGUGGCCUUCUAAGUCGAACGUGAAAUCCCUGGGCUCAACCCAGGAACUGCGUCCGAUACUGGAAGGCUUGAAUCCGGGAGAGGGAUGCGGAAUUCCAGGUGUAGCGGUGAAAUGCGUAGAUAUCUGGAGGAACACCGGUGGCGAAGGCGGCAUCCUGGACCGGCAUUGACGCUGAGGCGCGAAAGCCAGGGGAGCAAACGGG